GGCCCAGUAGUACUAAGUAACCUGUCUGAAGUCACAAAAGGUGGAAGUGGCUCAGCUGGGGCUUGGGCCAGGCCCCGGGCUCCAGAAUCCAUAUUCUCGACCACUGCCCCCCACUGUCCCUCCCGGGCACUUCACAGGCCAACAGGUGGGGAGCAAGCACAAGGCCCGGGGCACAGGGAAAGAUGGAAAAGCCACCCGGCCCCACAGAGACCAGUACGGGCAGCUGACCCCGGGCCUGGCCUGCUGGAGGUUCGAGAGCAAAAGCUGCCUGUUUUCAUCUCAGGGUCCUCAUGCGGCCAACCCUGAAGAGUCACUUAUGUGGAGCAACUGCUGACUUGGAAGAUUCCAAGCAAUGAUUUCGGACUGCAUGUGGGAACAAGGGGCCGGUGACAGGUCGGGGUCCUGGAAGAGCACCCGCUUCACUUUCCCGGGCUCUCCACUGCCUGCUGCACCCUCUCUCUAGAAGCUCCUGAGACUCUCAUUGGCAUCCCGGAGCUGGCCUGGCUGCUGUAGACCGAGGGCCCAGCUACCCCUGGGGCACAGGCUUGGCUCACAGGUGGGUGGGCCACCCGCCCAGACGGAGGCCUGGCCGCAGGAUGUCCGGUUUGGAGUCUCUUUCUGGGAAUCCCACACGCGGCUGUUGUAAACAGCCCCACGCAGCGGCCGGCGGGAGGCGGCUCCCCUCCUGCGGGGCGAGAUGAAUCAAACAGGAAGCAGCCGUAACCAUGGCAGCGGCGCCCGGGCUCCCGGGGGUGGGAAAAGAGCCCUUCCUGGCUCCGGGCCCCUGGCCAGUCCCCCGCCGGCCGGUCCCCGGGCGCCCCCCCCUCCCCCCCGGGCCCAGGCGAGCACCGGGAAGCCCUGAGCUCGCGCCCCCGCCCCCGCCCCCGCGGCGCGGCCCGACCCCGACCCGGAGCCGGAGCCCUCGGAGCCCUCGGAGCCCUCGGAGCCCUCGGAGCCCUCGGAGCCCUCGGAGCCCUCGGAGCCCUCGGAGCCCGGUUCCCACUUACCCUCACUGCCCUGCGCCCGGGGCUCCAACCCCGGAGAUAGGAAGUUCGCCCUGAUACCUAACCACCAUCUCUCCGAUCACAAGCAAGACGACCUGAGCAGCCAAGCAACGAUCCAUAGCCACGUCCUGAAUGCCCACUGCGCGCCGGUUACCGCUGGGUGACACCUGACCUGCACUGUGUCCCGGUUGGUCCUCACUAAAACCCCCGUCUGGAAGUGGAAGCAAGCGGCCUCCAGCAGGACGGAACCGAACAAGCCAACCUCCCAGGGCUGCCAUGGAGGAUCAAACGCUGCGUGAAAGCACUCUGGAAGCUGUCAAGCACUGUAGAAAACGCAGGUUGCAUAACCAGAGCAAGUCACCCGUGGAGCGGCUACUUGGGAGUGAAUUCCCUCGGGAGAAGAAGCUUGCUCUCCCUCCCUCUCUCUCUCUCUCCACCUCCCCCCUCCUUCCAGGCCUCAGACACACAGGCAGGCCCGGAGCAGGUGGAGAGAUGGAGGCCCCCACCGGUGCAGAACAGAGCACCCUCCUUUAGGACGGACUCCUGGGGACUGGGAACACAGCCAAAGGCCAUCAGUGCCCUUGGACCUGGGGCAGGGGAAGGCAGAGGCCAUCACAGAGGCCGGGGCCUGCUCCAGGGCCUGGGGGCGUCGCAGAUAGAGGAGUCCCUGAAUAGCAAUAAGCUAUGAAUGCUGGCACUCACAGGAUGCCACAUUAAUAUUAAUGACAGUAAGUGCCCAGAGAUCCCCAUCCCAGUUGCGCCUGGGUAUCCCCCUUGUUUGGCCUAUUCCUUUUUGGAAGAUGGCAGAGGUCUACUAUCAGGGCGAUUUCCCCGGCGACACGAUUCCCUUCUGCAGCCAGGGUUCUGCGGCUGCCCUUGGGACUCGGUGGGCCAGAGUUUUUCCAGACCACAAAAUCCAGCCAGGGUGCUUAUACAGCCUUCAGGGAACUCAGUAAACAGAUGCGUGGUCCUGGGUACUGAUCUGGACAAACCAGCUGGGAAGGACAAUUUCUGGCCAACUGGGAAUUGGAUGAGAUGAAAAUGUACGAUCGUGGGAGGUGGAGAUCACUGAAAAGGCAGCAUGUGCAGUGUCAUCGCAUUUUUGUAGGAAAUAUGACAUAUAAGGGCAGGCCAGGGAACAGGGAGGUGUGAAGAGGUAUUGUGGCAGUGGUCUCUGACCGCUGGGGCUGGAAUGUUUCUCAGUUUUUAAAUUUUCGCUUGUCUGUGUAGUCCAAUCAUCUACAAUGCACAAGACCUACAUCUAUAAUAAUAAUAAUAAUAAUAAUAAACAAAAUAUAGGGACGCCUGGGUGGCUCAGCGGUUGAGUGUCUGCCUUCAGCUCAGGGCGUUAUCCCGGGGUCCAGGAUCAAGUUCCACAACAGG